UGUUGACUCAGCAGAGAGGCAUCUGUUUGCAAGAGUUUCCUAAUCAUUAGGGUAUUAAGUGGUUCCAAAAAUACAAUGAGAUGUCUUCUAGAAGGUGAAGCUGAGACUGGAAAUGGAGUUGAGGACCCAAGUCUGUCUUGGCUCUGGACAGGAUUUCUGUCAACCAUCUCUGCAUCUGGCACUCACUGCUAAUGUCUGCUAACACAGGCACCUGGUCCACCAGUCAAGGGCAGGUGCCAACAUCACCCCAGCCCUCAGCAUGUUCAGAUGCUAAUUUCCAUGGGUCUGAGACUUUGUGAUCUGCAUCUCUACUGAGCCUUCAGGUACCAUCCCUGUGGCCUGCACUCUAAGGACAGUUGGCUCAGAGGCAGCCACCCAACCCUGAAGAGAGCACCAGGAAAAGGGAAAUGGGAGUCGUGGCUCCAGACUGGAGGAGAUGCCAAGUUAUGUGUGCAUUCCUUGUUCCUUUACGGAGGGUGUCAGGAAGGUGCCAUGCCAACCUUGGGCUUGGCUUCUUUCUUGAGAGUCCAGGCUCCACAAGUCAAGGAAAGGGAAGAAUACAAUGGUGACCUAUGAAUGUCUCCAACAGAGCUGGAGUACUGCUGAAGAAAGAUGGCCUGAAUGGGUCAACUCAACUGCAAAUCUGUUUGUCAUCACCUCUUCCAUUCAGUGGAUGCUCUUGAAACACCCACUGGAUCUUGACAAUUCAUUCUUUAUCUGCAAGUAUGCAGAAAACCAGACCUGGGCAAAAGUGAUAAGUGUCCUUUUCCCAGUGUCUAAUGUGUAAGCAUGGAGGCAGGUUAAGGUUUCUGUGGUUGUUUUGACUGAAAUUUCACAUGCAUAAAAUGGAAAAUCAAGAGUUCUCAAUACUGUGAGUGCAGGGACACAGGAGAAAGUGUUUCUAGAGCUGGGUGUCCUGCAGGUGGCUUUGCAGGAACUCCACCAGAGUCCCCUUGUGUCUACACACUCUUUUCUCCCAAUGUUCUUUAAGAACAACUCCCUGCUCCCUUGUCAGGUACUGGUCACUGUCACUGUCCUGAGUGCUGGCACUCCAGACUGAACAAGGAUCUGUUUUGUUUUGUUUUCCCUGAAGAAUGAGAUGGAUAAGCCACCAGCAGUUCACUGGGGUUGACACAGUAACAUUGGUCAUCAAGUGGUCCAAAGGAAUGGGGAAGGGACUCUGGUUUUGGGGGGAAGUGGAAUGGAAUCUAAUCUAGUGAUCAGAUUAGACAGGGUUUAGAAGGUUUAAUAUAAGCAAUUAUUCAAUUUAGACAACUUGCUUAAUUUUAAUUGCCGGCUUCUUUGCCUAUGAAUAGCAAACAAUAACACGUCUAUAGACAGAUAAUAAACCUAAAGAGAAAAGGGAAAGAAUAUCCCAUUCCGUGUACACACUGUAUGUAAUCUUUAUCCUCUUAUCAAGGGACAUUUUGGUUCAUUCCAACUCAUGGCUAUUGGGAAAGAAGCUGCAGAGAACAUGUUGUGUGUGUGACUCAGCCUUGAAAGGUGCAGAUUCUGUCUUGUGUACUGCAUGGAGGAAUUCUGAGGACGUCACGAUAAGUGAAAUUGGCCUGUCUCAGAAGGACAGACACUGAAUAGUUUUACAAAGAUGAGUUAUCCAACAUAGUCAAACUCAUAGGAACAAAAAACUGGAGUGACAGCUGCCUGGAGCUGGAGAGGGAAUGAAUUACUGUCCAAGGGCCAUGCAAUUUCAGCAUCAAAGAGAAAACCUACUAGAGAUCCACCACAUAGCAAAGUGCCGAUGGCUAACCGUAUGGUACGUGCAUACAUUUGUGAAGGGCACGGAUUUCAUACUGUGGUUUUCACCAUAGAGAAAAGACUUAAGCAAACAUUUCUAUGUAUGUGCUUUAUGAAUAUUUACAUUUGUAGAAAAUGGAUAAAAAUGGGAGAGGACAAAGGCCCACUAGUGUUUAGCAAAAAAAAAGUGUGUCUUGGAAGCAAGGAAAGAAAUUCUACCACAUUUAUAACAUUUUAUUUCUUAGAACAAAGAGAUCUGAAACAAAUGAGGGGCAGAAUAUUACCUCAGCUAAGACAGAAAUGGGUGUGCAUUGCUGUUCAUUCUUUUAUGAUUUAUGUUCAUCUUUUAUGAUGUUUGAAAUAUUUAACAGUAGUAAUUAAGAUUAAGGCCAUGUUUAACAGUGUUUGGCAUAGGGAAGGGCUCAGAACAUUCAAGCCAAGCAACACAAAUAAAGACCCAAAGUUCAUUCAGAAGUCCAGAGCUGGAAGAAUGUGCUCUGACUCACAGGGCUCACAGCUCCAUGAGGCUGGACUAUGUGGGAGUGAGAUAAGAGCUAAGGUGGGGGAAGGGAGCUGGGGCACAAUUACGAAGUUACCACAUGCUCAUGUUGGGUGCU
ensembl:lncRNA